rnacentral:rRNA from 1 species
GUCUAAGGCUAUACCUCUCUGAAUGUACCUGAUCUUUUCUGAUCUUGGAAGCUAAGCAGGGUCAGGACCGGAUAGUACUUGGAAGGGAGAUCACCUGGGAAUACAUGGUGCUGUAGGCU